rnacentral:rRNA from 1 species
UGGGGAAUUUUGGACAAUGGGGGAAACCCUGAUCCAGCCAUCCCGCGUGUGCGAUGAAGGCCUUCGGGUUGUAAAGCACUUUUGGCAGGAAAGAAACGUCGCGGGUUAAUACCCCGCGAAACUGACGGUACCUGCAGAAUAAGCACCGGCUAACUACGUGCCAGCAGCCGCGGUAAUACGUAGGGUGCAAGCGUUAAUCGGAAUUACUGGGCGUAAAGCGUGCGCAGGCGGUUCGGAAAGAAAGAUGUGAAAUCCCAGAGCUUAACUUUGGAACUGCAUUUUUAACUACCGGGCUAGAGUGUGUCAGAGGGAGGUGGAAUUCCGCGUGUAGCAGUGAAAUGCGUAGAUAUGCGGAGGAACACCGAUGGCGAAGGCAGCCUCCUGGGAUAACACUGACGCUCAUGCACGAAAGCGUGGGGAGCAAACAGGAUUAGAUACCCUGGUAGUCCACGCCCUAAACGAUGUCAACUAGCUGUUGGGGGCCUUCGGGCCUUGGUAGCGCAGGCUAACGCGUGAAGUUGACCGCCUGGGGAGUACGGUC